UGAGGAAUAUUGGUCAAUGGGGGCAACCCUGAACCAGCCAAGUCGCGUGAAGGAUGAUGGUCUUAUGGAUUGUAAACUUCUUUUACACGGGAAUAAAGUGGGGGACGUGUCCCCCUUUGCAUGUACCGUGUGAAUAAGGAUCGGCUAACCCCGUGCCAGCAGCCGCGGUAAUACGGAGGAUCCGAGCGUUCUCCGGAUUUAUUGGGUUUAAAGGGUGCGCAGGCGGGAUGUUAAGUCGGCGGUGAAAUUUUGCAGCUCAACUGUAAAAGUGCCUUCGAUACUGGCCUCCUUGAGUGUGGAUGGAGUAGGCGGAAUUUGUGGUGUAGCGGUGAAAUGCUUAGAUAUCACGAGGAACUCCGAUUGCGCAGGCAGCUUACUAUGCCACAACUGACGCUCAUGCACGAAGGCGUGGGGAUCAAAC
rnacentral:rRNA from 1 species